UCCAUAUCAUGUUGAAAAACCAGUUCUCAUCCAAUCACCAAAGUUAAGCAAUGUUGAGCCUGGUCAGUACUCAGAUGCGCUACCACUGGGAAAUACCAAGGG